CUCGCCCCGCCCACCUCCUCCUGUUCCUCCCGCCUCGCCUCACUCUCCCUCCAAACCCCGCCUCCCUGUACACGCCGCCAUCAUCUCCUUCGUCCGGCCGGCGACCCAUGCCGCGCCCGUCUGCUCCGCCCGCGCUCGCGCCGCCCCCUCUCCUGUUCCUCCUGCCUCAUCUCUCUCUCUCUCCCUCCUAACCCUAACCCAUGCCCACUUUCCUGUGCCGCCACCGGCCAUGCUGCUCUGGGUCGCGCGCCGCCGCGUUGCUCCGCUCCACGACGCUCCCCCGAGCCUCCUCCCUGUCCUCCAGGCCCACUCUCCCGCACAGCUCGCCCGCUCCUUCCUCCCAGUGACCACGGCGGCGCAUCAGCGGCCGGUCCACCGCGGGCUGCUUCUCCACCACCAUGCACCUGCCCCGCGUAUGCUUCUUCUCUCCCAGGAGUGGGCCGCAGCCAUGGAGAGCGGCCAGAGGAGCAUGGACGGCCAUCCCCUGCCUCCUCUCCAGCACGUGGCAAACUCAAGUUACUGACUUACUACAUAGUUGAAGAGACCACAUUACAUGUCAAUGGUACUCGUGCAAGCGUGGCUCCCUCCUCCAGUUGCUCAUCGCCCUCAUCUUCCCCAUUAGAAAUCUACUACCUAGGAGUACAUGGAACAUUGGUUCUACGUUCUACCUCAGUUGCGCUUUUUUAUUAGAAAUCAAGAGGCCUGUUUAUUAUUUUCAUUGAUGGGGAAAGCUUUGCAGCUGUAGAACAUAGUAUGAUUUAGCACUUCCGAGCAGUCAAGGGAGUUAGGUAGCAUAAAUCACAUCUUUCAUGAAUUGACGUGCAUCACUUUGGAGCGGGGUGGCUAAUAAAUCAGGUAGUGAUGCUGCCUGAUAUUGUUCUGUACACUCCUGCAUCAUUAAGUUUUCCAGGCAACAACAGCAUAAUGCUGAUAACGAAAGGAUAGGUGUAGGUUCAGACAGCUUAGGGUAUAGAGAAGUUGCUUUCAGGGUUGUAGUUGGAACAUGGGACCAUUGUUUGAUAUUGUGUCGUCGUCGAGUGGAAAAUUUGAUAUUGGUCACAGCCAAACAGAAAAAGGCACCACAUGUCCUUGUAAUAGAUGAUCUAUGUAUUCAAUUGGCUGAUGCAAUAAGCUGCUUCCUGGUUGAUCUUAAAUUAGUCAAUCGAUGGUAGUGAACUGGCAGCGACGAAUUGGAUUGGUUUGAUAUAUGGAUCCAUGUGUACUUGCUGAUCUUUGACUAGCCAGUGCCAGUCCUUUCUGAUGUUUCCAGGUCCCAUGCGCUUUCGUUGAAAUUUGUAGGAGAUAAUUUGAUUUAUUAUAGAAGUACAACGGCUGCUGUUGGAUCCCAUGCCUGAAGGCUGAGUGAAUUUGAAUAUAUAUAUUUGUCUUCUAGGCUUUUAAUUGACUCUGAUGAAGUAGUAGUACAGUCCAGUCUGAAAUUUUUGGUAAAUAUGCUCUCUGAAAGUUGGAUCUUUACUACUGUCAAGUCUGAUUUGUCAAUGAAAACCAGUAACUACUGAAGUCAAAAUUCAGUAAGCUUUGUCAAUGUCAAAAUUGUCGAAACUAUUCUUACCAGGCCCACAAAACUUUAGCUGGGCUCUACCCAUUUACGGGAGAAGUGCAACAGGCAAGGAUACAAAGUGAGAUCGGAUUGACAUUGAAAACCAGUAACUACUGAAGUCAAAAUUCAGUAAGCUUUGUCAAUGUCAAAAUUGUCGAAACUAUUCUUACCAGGCCCACAAAACAUUAGCUGGGCUCUACCCAUUUACGGGAGAAGUGCAACAGGCAAGGAUACAAAGUGAGAGUGCUCAGUUUUCCCCUUUCCAUGGUGCCACGCCUCGAUCUGCUGCUCCCAGCCACAGCAACCUCUAAUCGAUCGAGGAACGAGUCCUGUGGACGUUGAUCAAUCUUCGACCGUGUUCGGGCACUUGCAGCAACCACAUUAUAAAAGGAUCGACGAGGAGCGAUCUGCUAUGCAUCAGUGGCGAUGAAGGUAAAAUUCGAAUAUAUCCUCCUACAGUACUUUUGUAUUACCUGUGAUGGACGUCACAGAUCACCUAUUUUAACUCUGGCAAGUACCCGAUGAUAUAUGAUGCCACCAACUCUUGUGAUGUACCGUGUAAACUACCGUGUGAUCACCUAUUCUGACUCUGAUGAUUAGAUAGACUCAAUGCAAGGUGGUUUUGCUUCUUUCUACAAAUUUCAUAUAUUUUUUCUCUUGCAUAUACCCUGCUAAGCAAAUAACUAAUUAUGGUUGCAUGAUAAAAUCAUGGAAAAGGAAGUUAAACAGGAUAAUUAUCGUUGUUGCGAAGUGGAUAAACAGAAAAGAUGUGUUGUGUAUAUGCCAUAUUUUCCUUCUCUGGAUUUCAAGGUUGUGCCAUAUAGAACAGCUAUAAACCUACAAUGUCUAGCUUCUCCCUUAUACAUGAGAGCUAAUUCUUGCUAUUUAUUUGCUACCCCGGUUGAUUGCGAGAGCGUGUGAUAUGAUGAUGGCAUGAGGAAUGGAGAGCUGUAAUUUCUAACGGUUGAAUUUCACAUUUGUACUCUUAAAACUUGUGGUUAGUAAAGCAAGCUACUUUGUUCUAUUUAUUUCAAACAUAUCUAUUAUUCACUAAGGCUCCUGCCUACUUUCAUACUGACGUUGUGUCUAAAACUGAGCCUCCUCUUAACUCUCUCUGUAGUAAAUGAAGCCCAGAGGUGGAGGGAUUUGGAUGUUGCAAAGUUUACCAGUAUUACUAUUUAAAUAUCAUGAACCUUAUUGUGCAUAAAAAAUGACAGAAAAUAGGACUACUUCAGAGUACACAUUUUAAAUUUACCUGUAUUAUCAUGUAAAUAUUUAUUUUAUUAAGAGUUUGAAUUUUUAGGAGAACACCUCAUGUUCAACCACUUUCAUUUCCCUUCAUUCUUAGUUUCUUACUAAUGGUCGCUCGAUGGUGCUAAUUGGCUUAUGUGGUUAUAGAUGGUGAGUAUUACAGUAUUAGGAAGGCUCGCAUCACCAUUAUUUUAAGGAAGUUUAAUCCAUGUAUGUUUUGGCCAUGUAAUUUGAAAUUCUUAGCUGCAUGGAAGUGGUACCUUUUAGUUCUUUGUGCUGCUUACAAAAAUAAUCAUCAUUGGGCUGUAAAUUUGACUGCACAACCUAAGCUGAUUUUCGGUAUUUUUCUUCUUGGUAAGCUUUCAGUUAUAUUGGCAAAAAAAUUGAUUGAAGGUUUCAAAUAUAUUACACCGGAACUAUUUCAAUAUUGCUAUUGAAAUUUUCCUUGUGGAAGUACUUGGAAGGAAGAUUCUUGCCUAGUUCAACUUUAAUAUUCUUGAAGGACACAUCAAAGAUAUCUGGAUGCUGCAAAUUUAUAUGAGUUACACAUGGUAGACAAGGUUAAUGUCCAGAUAUUGUGUAGUCUUUGCCCCUUCUCUAGAAGGGGUAUAUGCUCGAAAAUUGUAUUAUCUUUUGUCCAGACUCAAAUUUUAUAUGGCUGCUUGAUCUUUGGUUAGAAUUUAUUCCCGGUGAUCGUGUCUCACUAAGUUACCUCUGUUGAAAUUGAAAAAUGUAUGAAUGCAAAAAUGGUUUAUCAAAUCCAUGCUGAUUGCAAGACAUGCUUGUAUUUAAAAAGCAAUCAUCUUUUCACAUAUACAAAACUUUGUAAGCUUUGAGUUGCUGGUUUUGGAACCGCUUCUGUUUUUGUUUUACUGUACUCCUCUCGAUACAGAUGCUACUUCGAACUCUCAAGUUUCUAUUUUUGUUGCAUAGUUCACCGUUUGCAGACCAGUUGUUUGGCUGUCCUUUUAAUCAAAACUUCUGUUAUGUUUGGAGGCGAGUCUGCAUUGGUCUCAUCCUGAUGGAAUUCAUUACAUGGUGGGAAUGUUAAGAGCGGGGACCUUAUAUUUAGAAACAGCAAGCUUGAAGAAGCGCUGCACUUGACUGGCGAGCUCGCUGAGAAAGAAAAGUUGUCACAGCGUGAUGAAAAGAUCGAUGCAUGCAAAAAGAACUGUUGUGCGCAUUGCGAUGUUUCUUUUUUCGUAAUCGCGAUCUGGCAGGUCUAAACCAUAUCUAUUCCUGGGCAAGAAGGGCACGAAGUAACACUUUGUCCUAGGAUAGUAUCUUUUGGUGAUUUAGGCGCCUUUUGGAAAAUAUAGAUAUCUGUUACAUGUGUUGGAGGUUUGCAGCUUAUACAUGCAUGCCCUGAAUCUGGUUCCUCGAGGUGAAAUGGUUGGUCGAAAGCAUGUGUACAACUUCCUUCAAAGAGCUUCUGCACCUCGUGUUUCAGUUUUGGUCACGUUUAUAUCCCUGUGUAGAAGGUCGCAGAGCCUUGGUACCCCUUGUAUGUUCUGUUGAAAGAAGUUGUCAUAUAUAACGAUUGAUUAACAGGACGAAGAUUCUCCGCCGCUGUUUGGAGGACGUCAGACCUGGGAGCAGAGGGAGGAAAGCUUUAAAUUGAACGCUACCAUGAAGGGCUGCAGUAACAACUAAGCAUCCGAUAUAUAAUAACAUCAUGAAAGGGGCACGAAGCGGCGAUCCAAUAUACACCGGCGAUGAAGGAAGUGGGGAUGGACAUUCAUGGAUCUGUCGUCCCUGAUUUGCUUUGGGGAGGUCCGGCACCCUCGCGCCAAGGCGCACUGCCGAUCUAGUUGUGAUGAGGGCGGAGAACGGUGGGCUUGGAUUGGCCUCCUUUGGUCGUGACGUGCUCCACCUGUGGUCAGCUGAGACGGGUCCUGACGGAGAUGUCAAGUGGGCGCAGAUGAACCACAUCCAUCUCGGGAAGCUGAUGCCUUUCAAGAGCCCAGCACGUUUGAUUGGAUUUGCCGAAGACAUCAAUGCCGUUUUUGUGAGCUCAGAUGACCAUGGCAUCUUCACUGUUGAGCUCAAGUCAUUGCUGACGAAGAAGGUGUGCGAGAUGGGCAAGGUCAAGGAUUUUUUUUCCUUACGUCUGCUACUACACUCCAGCUGCUUGUGCUAUUGCUAGGGGCACGCUGCCAGCACCUGUGGCCCCUUAGUGAUCUCUACAAGCCAUUUGAAGAUAUGACGUGGUAAGUCAGCAAAUGUGAUGGACGGAUCCAUCAUUUUGCAGUCCUGAUGCUUCUUCAGAGUUCCAGUUAUUGCUUUUCUCACGAGGAAGUUUUUCCUUGGUAUCUUGAUCAAUUAGUAUUCUGUUCAUCGAGCCCUCUUGAAGUAGACUUGAAAAACAAAGUUUCAAUUUACCACGAACAAUAUAAAUAUGUAUCAGCUCACUAUCUUGGUGCAUAAGCUAUUUUUCAGUCGACGUGUGGUGAGUCCACUUGGAACUAAAUAUGCACUGUUUUCUUUAAAACUGAAGCACUGUUGUUGAAUUUUAGUUUCAUUUGGACAAGUUACCCCAGGUACCAUCAAUUCAUGAUGGUUACUUUGGUUUGGUUCUUGGUCAA